AAAGAGAGAGAGAAGAGAGAGAAAUAAGAGAAAAUAUCGAAAAAUUGAUCGAAAAAUUGGCUCUUUUAUUGAAAUUGAAAUGGAUUUUGGAAAUUUGUUUUUCUUCUUUUUAUUUGAGUUCUAUUUGUGGGGUUU
rnacentral:ribozyme from 13 species